GACGAACGCUGGCGGCAUGCUUAACACAUGCAAGUCGAACGGAAAGGCCCUGCUUUUGUGGGGUGCUCGAGUGGCGAACGGGUGAGUAACACGUGAGUAACCUGCCCUUGACUUUGGGAUAACUUCAGGAAACUGGGGCUAAUACCGGAUAGGAGCUCCUGCUGCAUGGUGGGGGUUGGAAAGUUUCGGCGGUUGGGGAUGGACUCGCGGCUUAUCAGCUUGUUGGUGGGGUAGUGGCUUACCAAGGCUUUGACGGGUAGCCGGCCUGAGAGGGUGACCGGCCACAUGGGGACUGAGAUACGGCCCAGACUCCUACGGGAGGCAGCAGUGGGGAAUAUUGCACAAUGGGCGGAAGCCUGAUGCAGCAACGCCGCGUGCGGGAUGACGGCCUUCGGGUUGUAAACCGCUUUCGCCUGUGACGAAGCGUGAGUGACGGUAAUGGGUAAAGAAGCACCGGCUAACUACGUG
rnacentral:rRNA from 1 species